rnacentral:rRNA from 1 species
AAGCUCGUAGUUGAAUUUCGGGAUCAAUGGAUUGGUCAUGCCGAUGGUAUGUACUGGUCAUAUUGGUUCUCACCUUCUAAGGAACCAUAAUGUCAUUCAUUUGAUGUUGUGGGGAAUUAGGACUGUUACCUUGAAAAAAUUAGAGUGUUUAAAGCAGGCUAACGCUUGAAUACAUUAGCAUGGAAUAAUGAAAUAGGACAUCGCAUUCUAUUUUGUUGGUUUCUAGGAUCGAUGUAAUGAUUAAUAGGGAUAGUUGGGGGCAUUAGUAUUCAAUUGUCAGAGGUGAAAUUCUUGGAUUUAUUGAAGACUAACUACUGCGAAAGCAUUUGCCAAGGAUGUUUUCAUUAAUCAAGAACGAAAGUUAGGGGAUCGAAGACGAUCAGAUACCGUCGUAGUCUUAACCAUAAACUAUGCCGACUAGGGAUCGGAUGAUGUUGAUUUUUUAAUGACUCGUUCGGCACCUUACCGGAAACCAAAGUGUUUGGGUUCCGGGGGGAUUAUGGUCGCAAGGCUGAAACCCCAAGGAACUGACGGAAGGGCACCACCAGGGGUGGAGCCUGCGGCUUAAUUUGACUCAACACGGGGAAA